rnacentral:lncRNA from 1 species
GAGCGGCCGCCGGUGACCAUAGAGAUGACGCGGCCUCCCCUGCCCACAGGCGGCUCUCCGUCGUGGGGCCGAGAGUUAGUGAAGGUGGCGUCCGUGGGGCUCGGGCUCUGCGGGCCGUGUCUAUGUGACAGCUCUCCCGGUGGCUACUGGUGGUGUUCCCGAGGGUGGGUCCUGCCGCGGCGGACGCGGGCUGCGCGCCGCUCGGACCGCGGGGCACGCAGCUGUCGAGCCCUCGAGACGUCCCGGCCGGGCGUCCUGGGGGACCCUGGAGCUCCUCCGCGGGACUCGGGGCGUGUGGUUUCCCUGCCCCGGGCAGCCUGGGAUCCCCUCACCGCCUCUCCCGGGCUCUGGUUGCCCUGAGCCCCUCCCUGGCCUGUAACGGGGUCUCAAUACCGACUCAGAGGAAGAGGAAGAAUUCCUGAAGGAUGAGUGGCCUGCCCAAGGCCCCUCCAGCUCCAAGCUGACAUCUUCCAUCCUGUGUGGCCUGGUGGCCAAGAGCAGCAAGCCGGCGGGGGGCCCCAAGCUGAGCAAGAGGGGCCUGGCGGCCGCCCGGACUCUGAAAGCCAAGCCGGCUGCCGGCAGGAAGCAGCCGUUUGGCUUGCUGCUUCCCGAGCUCGAGGCCCGCUCCUCCUUCAGCGAUUCUUCGGAGGACUCGUUUGACCAAGGUUACUAGCUCCAAACACAAAAUACCUUCCGUGUUUUAUAGCGCGAGAGUGAGUGCGAGCGAGAGAGCGAGAGCGAGCGAGAGCACAGAGAGAUGGCCGUGCUGCGGUGGCCCUCGGGGUGGCCUCGGCCGCGCCAUCUCGGUUCUUGGCAGCGUAGCCUGCUAUCGGCCUAAGGCUUUUUAUCCUUGUUGAUCUGUACCUGUAUCAUUGUGAUAAUAUCACCGGCUAGCUCUUUUUGAGCUUUUAUACGGACUGUUUUAGUCUCCACUUUCCUCCACUCUGCCCUCCGCCCCACCCCACGUCUCGCCCCUCUGCCCUGGACCGCAGGCCUGGGCCGGGUGCCCUCGGCAGGGCCUC